UACGUAGGGUGCAAGCGUUGUCCGGAAUUAUUGGGCGUAAAGAGCUCGUAGGCGGUUUGUCGCGUCCGCUGUGAAAAUCCAGGGCUUAACCCUGGACCUGCAGUGGGUACGGGCAGACUAGAGUGCGGUAGGGGAGAUCGGAAUUCCCGGUGUAGCGGUGAAAUGCGUAGAUAUCGGGAGGAACAUCAGUGACGAAGGCGGCCUUCUGGUCCAGUACUGACACUCAAGUGCGAAAGCGUGGGGAGCAAACAGG
rnacentral:rRNA from 1 species